rnacentral:rRNA from 1 species
UACGUAGGGUGCGAGCGUUAAUCGGAAUUACUGGGCGUAAAGCGUGCGCAGGCGGUUUUGUAAGCCAGGUGUGAAAUCCCCGGGCUCAACCUGGGAAUGGCAUUUGGGACUGCAAGGCUUGAGUGCGGCAGAGGAGACUGGAAUUCCUGGUGUAGCAGUGAAAUGCGUAGAUAUCAGGAGGAAUACCGAUGGCGAAGGCAGGUCUCUGGGCUGACACUGACGUUCAUGCACGAAAGCGUGGGGAGCAAACAGG